CGUGCACGUCUCACACUUUGUCCUUUUUUUAUUUCCGUCUUUCAGUUAAUCUCCUCGACUCCCCCAUUUCUCUUCUCCUCGCUCCUCGCUUCCUUUCUGCCUCCCCUUCUUCCACUAAUCUCUGUCCAUCGUUCUUCCUCGCUUCCCCGCCUUGCAUCCAUCUGUCUUACCCGCUUUCAUCUAUCUGUCCGUCCCCCCCCCCACCGAAUGUCUGUUCUGUUGCUUUACAACCUCGCAGCAAAGCGUUCAGCCUUCCUCCUGCUGUCUCCGUGGCCUGUCCUCAUGACUACUCAUUGCCCCCUCAUCUUUUUCUCUCCACUCUCUUCCUCCCCCAGCUCCCAUCCUCCUCGCGUCUCUUUUCACCUUCUAUUCUCUCAUCCUCCAUUUGCGUUUGUCUUCGUCCAUCCUCGCGUCUCUCUGUCUGACUGACUCCUGACAUGUCCGAGCGUCUCCCUCCCAGUGUGUCUCCGUCCCUUCCCGUCCCCACUCCUCUCGUCAUCCACCUGUGGCAGCAUCAUCAGCUCAGUGUUGCUGGUAUCCAUGGCGACGUCGACGGGCCUCUUGUCGAAACUUGCUGUGGCAGUGGCCGUCCGCGGCCUCCCGGUGCAGCGGCGUCAUCUUCAGCGCGUCUUUGGCGUUAACGUUGGCGCCGCUCUGCGUGGACAGGCGGCACCCCCCGGUGGCGAGACAGGGAACCAGCCGCGAAGGAGCCGGGUGACACAAGGGGGAAGAGGUCCACGAUGGUGGAGUGACCCUCCGAGGCGGCCAUGUGAAGAGGGGUCUUGUCCACUUUGGACGCUGAUGGGAGUGGUGGCCCUGCUGGGCGACGAGCCCAGCUGGAGGACAGGGAGGGGAGAGGGUGAGAGCUGGAGAGAGAGAGAGGACGGCAUGUGGUUCACACUCGUGUCGUCAUGGAUUAGCCCAAUGAUUAUUCCAUAAUUAACGCGCCAGUCCGUAGUGAACGGAGCCCCGUUGGCCAUCAGGGCUUUGACAUCGUCAUCCCGUCCCCAUCGCACCGCCUCCAGCAGCUGGUAACCCGAGAUACACCAGAGACAUCUGCCGACAGGAAGGAGGAACGCAGCGCUGAGAGUCACACGGGGAACAUGAGCACAGGCUCAACUGGGUGACUGCAUUGUUGUUUGUGUGGAAUGUAAUAAUAUCCAGAAUACACGGUAUUUCAAAAAUGGUGUGUCUUGUUUAGGCAAUGUGUUGCAUGUCAGACGCUCGUGAUCAUCACGCAUGUUCCAGUGUCUUCAUCCAUUUUGAAGAGGAAAAAUACCCCAAGAUUGUGCUUUUUUAACAUUUCUUCAAACAUGACAAUUUUCUACUUCUGUUUCUAUAUUUGUGUAAAUGGUAAUUCUCUUUGUUUGUGACUGUUAGUUGGACAAAAAAAAAGAUAAAUAACGUAUUAUGCACAAAAAGAAAUUCUGUAGCUAUAUGCUAUGUGUUGGCUGGUUACGGUAGAGGCCUUUUGUUAGAGGAUACAGGUGAACUUAAAAACUGAUAAGAUCCUUCGACGACAACUUGUAAGAUGAUAAAUGAAUGAAAAAGGAUGAAUUUUCCUUCCAAAACACAGCAGAGCAGAAUUAUGAAGCAGCACAUAUUGGAUUACUAAUUUGAGUAAAUUGGUCCCACCUUCCUAAUCACUGUUAUUACUCUUCAUGUGUGAGUAAUUACAGUGGUGAGCCAGCUUUAAUGAGGGGAAUAAGAAGAAGAAAUGACCAGAGGUGUCAAAAGUAUUCACAUUCAUUACUCAAUAGAAGUACAUAUACUAGGGUUUAAAAAGACUCCUGUAGAAGUUUGUAGAAUUACCAACUCAAGAUUUUUACUUAAGUAAACGUAUAAAAGUACUGGUUUCAAAACUACUUAAAGUAUAAAAGUAAUGUAAGAAAUUCCAUUAAGGACAAACUCUUAAUGCGUAACCUCGCUCACACAACACGUCAGUCCGUUACAAUGUGAUCAGAAGGCGCCUGCAGAUCACGUGACCUGCCGUUGGGAUGAUGGAAACAUGGCGACAUUCAGAGACACGACACAAAAACAACACGUGUAUCUAACUUAUACAGAUAAAACCACAACACAUUUACCGGUGACACGAGUCACACACACGUUGUUCGCAUCGAUUAGGUAGACUGCAGUGUCUCCCCCAGGUUCACUACGUCAUGGGGGGCGCGCCCCUGUUUAUAAUGAUGGGAAACACUGAACUGGCAGCGGUCGGUUAUCAAAACAUUGGCCAAAUAACCCGUAUGUUCAGGCUUCAUGAGCAAAUACAGAAUCCCUUUGUGUUCAUUUGCAAAGCCGCAUUAAGACACACGUCACUUUAUUUAAUACGCUGCUUGCAAGUCGCUGUGUUGUGCCAGACUCUCAAUAAAACAUUUAGGACAAACCCACGGUCACGAAGAUCCUCAUCUAACGUUACAUGGACUCUGCGUGAGGAAGAGGAGGAGGAAGAGGAGGAGGCUCCAUGUCGAUAAAUACCUACUUUCCACCGACCACUUUUCCCACCCGGUGUCGCUCCGAUCUGCCGGCGCAUCGCGGAGAAAACCAAUCGGGUGUCUGGAUGCUAAAUGUUUAAACUUCUCAUCCAAACACAA
ensembl:lncRNA